CUGGAUGCCAGGCUUGGUGGUCAGGACACCGACUGCUUUCAGCUCCCACAUGCCCCUCCUGCUAGCUGCUUUGUGCAGAGUACUGGCUACAUGGCUGCAGGUGAGAGCCCUGCCUGUGAACAGGCCACCAGGAUGCUGGGACAUACUAGUUGAUAAUCCAUGGGCUCCUGAGAGCAGGGAUUGUGACUUACUCAUCUCUGAUGUAGCCAAGUUCUGACAAACCUAAAUGUGCAGCCAUUUGUGAGAGAGGAUCAUGGAAUGAAUACAGGCAUUGAGUCAAGCAGUCUGUGUUCCACUGGCGGUGUGACCUGGGGCAGGCCAUUUCACCUCACUGAGCCUUAGUUUCUUCACCUGUAAAAUGUGAAAAAUAUCACCUUCCUUACCAGGCUUUUCUGAGGAUUUAAUGACAUCAUGUUCAGUGCCCAGUAUGGGUGGAUAAUACCCAGGAGUUUCUUCCUCUUCUCCUCCUAAGUUGACUUGAACCCCCCGCUGAAGAUCAGGGCUGAACUGGCUCAAUUUGGGUCCAGGACUCCUGACUUUGUCUCUUCCCUAAUUGCCUGCCACACCCAUGGACACCCUUAGGUAGUUUAUCCUUUUGGGACAACUGGAUUCAUUAGAGAAGGGUAUUCUGGAGUGGAAUAAGGCCCUUUUCAGUCCCCAUGGAGGCUUUUUGGAAGAUGAAGUUCUCAAAUCCACAAGAGAAUUCACAGAAGAGCACACCACCCACAGUUAGAUUUCCCUCUCAAGUGCUUUGUCUCCACGUGGGGCAGAUGGCUCUUUGUCUGCAUACGUUAUUGGAGCUUUUGGAGUCCAGCCUUCAGAAGAGCUCUAAUUUUUGGAUUCAUAUCAGUUUAUUAGAGAAGACUAGUUCUAAGGAUUAGCAAAUGGGUAGGUGCUCAGCCAGCCCAGAACAAGCAGAGCCAUGACAGAAGUUUCUGGAAUGAUCUCAGAGUCGGUGUCUUCAUGGACCCAGGGGGCCUAAAUCCAAUAGCGUGGAUUUGUCACUUUCCCUUAUUCCCUUAUCAAACUCUUCCCUUUUGGACAUCAGAGGAGGAAAGUGCUUCCUGCAAGGGGGCAAUUUGCAAAGCUUCAUGGAAGUGGCAUUUGAGUGUGGCCUUAAAAGAUGUGUAGGAUUGGGAACCAUAGAUAUUUAGAGGAAGGCAUUCCUGGCAGAAUGAACAGCAGCAAAACACAGAGGUGGAAAUUAGUAGCAGCAAUAAUGGAAAAUAAUUUGGGGAAUAAGAUACACAAAUGGAAUAAUAAAAAUAGCAUUAAUUAAACACUGUGGGAGUCAUUCUGUAAGAUGGCCCCUGGUGAUCUCUGCCUCCUGUUCUUCAUGCCUUAUGUAACCCCUCUCCUUGAGUGUGGUCUGGAAUUACUGACUCACUUUCAAUGCACAGAAUGUAUCAGAAGUAAUGGGGUAUUCCUUCUGAGAAUAGAUUAUAAGAAAAGAGUGUGGCUUCCUUCCUGGCAUUUUCGCUUGCUCUCCCUUGAACUGUGUGCUCCAAACAAAGCCAGCUGCCAUGUUGUGAGGAAGCCCUUUGUGGAGGACCACAUGGUGAGGACGGAGGCCUGCCAACAUCCAUGUGGCGAGCUUAGAUGCACCCCUUCCCAGUUCCAGCCAAGCCUUCAAAUGGGACCACUUGACCAACUGCUUGACUACAAUCUCAUGAGAGACUUUGAACCAGAAACUAAGCUGUGUCCAGAUACCCAUACAAAUAAUGUGAGAUAACUGCUUGUUGCUUAAAUCACUAAGUUUGGGGGUAACUUGUUUGCAGCAAUAGAUAACUAACAUAAACACUUACUAUAAUGUGCCAGACACUGUCAUAGGUCCUUCAUAGAUCUGUUAUUUAAUCAACAAUAUUAGGUGGGUAUUAUUAUCCUUUUUUUUUUUUUCAAUUGAGAAAACUAAGGUUUAGGCAUCUGCCUAAUUCCUGUUACUAUCUAGUAGGUGAAGGAUCUGCAAUGAACGUAGGUCGUCUUAUUCCUGGGUAUAUGCCCUUAACAUGGACUCACUACAUUCUACAAGCAGUGCCCAUGGUUACAGUUUGGUCCACUCCUGCUGCCCCCUGUGUUGCCCUGCCCCACCUUCCCUGAAGUCUCCAGCCACCCAGCCCUCAUAUCUCAGCAGAGCCUGGAAGGAGCCCUGGGGAUUCCUCUUAAGUGUUUUGAGCACAGUCUCACUCUCCAUGGCUCAGCUGCCUCAGCCAGGCUGUGCCACCUACAUCCAGCUCCAUCCCUCCGU